AAAAAUUCAUUUAAGCACUUCAAUGAUUUUAAUCUUAAAUGAAUAGCGAUAUUUUGCGGUGCAGUACUCUCUCUCUCUCUCUGCCCUGUUUGUCCAUCUCUCUUAAGUUCUGAAGAGAUAUAGAGCAGCAAUCUGUCAAUGAUUUUCUGUGUCGUAGAAAAUCAGACAUGGUCUUCUAUCCCAGGAUGUUUUUGUAAGAGUCGGCCUCAUUUCCAUAAACUAUGGCUAGACUUUCAUACUCAUGAAUCUCAGAUCUGCCCAAAAGAAAAUCGGACAUGGUCUUCGAUUUCAGGUGGUUUUUGUAAGAAUUCGACUUCAUCGAUUGUAAAUUAUGGCGAGAAUUUCAUACCCAUAAAAUUUCGCAGACAGGGCUGCUAGGUGCUUUCAUUAUCGAAAAGCUUUUUUUUUGCAAGGUAUAUCGUUAGGAUUUACAUGUUAUGCCAAAAGAAAUUUCUUUUAAUAUCAGAGUGUCUUUCUAUUUCUAUGUUGAAAGGACCCUUGGUUUUCACAAUAGAUUUUUUUUUCCUUGACAACUUGCUUUCUGGCAUAUUGAGGCACUCAACAAAUCGUGAGGUUGCUCUUAUGAUGCUCAUGGCAUAGCUUUCAUAUAUGCUGGCUGAAAUUUUGAUAUGUAUUGCAGCUAUUCUAUUAGAGUGGCAUUCUCACUAUAUUCUUUUGUGGGAUUGUGAUGUCAAUAUGGGUGCCUUGGACAUUGAAAAGUGGAGAUUUGUAAGUGAUGGGUCCUCAUUCAAUUACUGGAAAUGCGGUUGGAUUCAAUAUAUUGGACAUGGACGUAAUGGAAAGAGUUCUUGAGAUGCUGAGUUUAGAGAUACUGGAUUGAAAAGGUCUGAAAAGUUGGCAAAAGAUUUGGAGUGGUUCAAUGAGAAAGGCCAUGCCAUACCAGAACCUUCUGCUCCUGGUGUAAACUAUGCUUAGUAUCUUAAGGAAUUGUUGGAGAAGGAUCGUCAAGCAUUUUUCUGCCACUUCUACAAUAUAUACUUUGCUCAUUCAGCCAGUGGACGAAUGAUUGGGAAAAAGUUGUCCAUUGAGGAGUAGAGGAGAACGCAGACGUCAUGCCUAGAAUUAAGGCUGCCAAGAAUUUUCUUUUCUGAUUAAGUGGUUUGGUUAGAAUUAUUGCUAUUGUAUGUUAAAUAAUUUUUUUUUUUUUUAAUUUGAAAUAGUGGCAGUCACUAUUUUUCAGAUUGGUGGGUGUAUUGUAUAUUGUAACAAUGCAAAAAUCAAGUCACCAUUAAAUAUAUUAGAUUGCUUUCUAGUUGUGAGACCCACAAUUUGUAAGUCACCAAAAAAGUAAUAGUGGCAUCUUGGGUAUAUGUCACGGCAGCAAUGGGCACCAUUCACUAAAUGGUAACUAGAGGGGUGUCACUAAAUGGUAACUAGAGGGGUGUCUAUUGUUCUUCAACACCAUUGAUUGGUGGCUAUAGAUCCAAUACACUCCAUUCUCAAUGGUGUUGUUAGGUCAGUUUUGUGGUAGUGCUUACAUACGGUAUUGCUAAUAUAAGUUAAAUAUUCUUGCUGAGCUGCUGUGUUUUGGGGAUUGAGAGUUCUAUAUAGAUUGCUAGAAUGCAAAAUCAGUUGAGGAGGUAGGUUCUAUGUCCUGUGAAAUGCAUUAGUAGUUCGUCCUCUUACAGAUCUUUGCUGACAUGAAAUUUCUGACCAUUGACUUUUGUUGUACGGCUCUUCUGGCUUUUUGGCUGCAUCAGUAUUGCUUAGGCCCCAUUGAUUAGAUUACUCAAUAUAUCUGUUUUUCUUAUUCAAAUCUUCAAAUUUAGAUACCACUAUAUUUUUUCAACACUUUCUUGGUCCAAAUUUUCUGUUUCUAAUAAUAUCAAGAAGAAAACAAAGACCUUAGAUACAGAUAAAAUAUCAAGAAGAAAACAAAAACCUUAGAUACAGAUAAAUCAGAUGCAAACUAUAUAUAAACAGUGGUCAAUUUCUAAUGCCUUCUCCAAUAACAUUGAUUAAGGAGAUUAAUGCUCUAAAAUCUAAAACAUAUUUUCUUUUAAGCAUUACCUCCUCUUAUUCUAAAUUAAAGUUCUCAUUAGAGAAAUGACCAAAAUACUACUUCUGUUAUUGUGUCUGUU